rnacentral:rRNA from 1 species
UAGGGAAUCUUCCGCAAUGGGCGAAAGCUUGACGGAGCAACGCCGCGUGAGUGAUGAAGGUCUUCGGAUCGUAAAACUCUGUUAUUAGGGAAGAACAAAUGUGUAAGUAACUAUGCACGUCUUGACGGUACCUAAUCAGAAAGCCACGGCUAACUACGUGCCAGCAGCCGCGGUAAUACGUAGGUGGCAAGCGUUAUCCGGAAUUAUUGGGCGUAAAGCGCGCGUAGGCGGUUCGUCGCGUCUGGUGUGAAAGCCCAUCGCUUAACGGUGGGUUUGCGCCGGGUACGGGCGGGCUAGAGUGCAGUAGGGGAGACUGGAAUUCCCGGUGUAACGGUGGAAUGUGUAGAUAUCGGGAAGAACACCAAUGGCGAAGGCAGGUCUCUGGGCUGUUACUGACGCUGAGAAGCGAAAGCGUGGGGAGCGAACAGG